rnacentral:rRNA from 1 species
GAUGAACGCUGGCGGCGUGCCUAAUACAUGCAAGUCGAGCGAACAGACGAGGAGCUUGCUCCUCUGACGUUAGCGGCGGACGGGUGAGUAACACGUGGAUAACCUACCUAUAAGACUGGGAUAACUUCGGGAAACCGGAGCUAAUACCGGAUAAUAUAUUGAACCGCAUGGUUCAAUAGUGAAAGACGGUUUUGCUGUCACUUAUAGAUGGAUCCGCGCCGCAUUAGCUAGUUGGUAAGGUAACGGCUUACCAAGGCAACGAUGCGUAGCCGACCUGAGAGGGAGAUCGGCCACACUGGAACUGAGACACGGUCCAGACUCCUACGGGAGGCAACAGUAGGGAAUCUUCCGCAAUGGGCGAAAGCCUGACGGAGCAACGCCGCGUGAGUGAUGAAGGUCUUCGGAUCGUAAAACUCUGUUAUUAGGGAAGAACAAAUGUGUAAGUAACUAUGCACGUCUUGACGGUACCUAAUCAGAAAGCCACGGCUAACUACGUG